rnacentral:rRNA from 1 species
CAGCAGCCGCGGUAAUACGUAGGGUGCAAGCGUUAAUCGGAAUUACUGGGCGUAAAGCGUGCGCAGGCGGUCCGCUAAGACAGAUGUGAAAUCCCCGGGCUUAACCUGGGAACUGCAUUUGUGACUGGCGGGCUAGAGUAUGGCAGAGGGGGGUAGAAUUCCACGUGUAGCAGUGAAAUGCGUAGAGAUGUGGAGGAAUACCGAUGGCGAAGGCAGCCCCCUGGGCCAAUACUGACGCUCAUGCACGAAAGCGUGGGGAGCAAACAGGAUUAGAUCCCCUGUAGUCCCUGUCUCUUAUACA